ACACACACACACACACACACACACACACACACACACACACACACACACAGAGUUUGUUAGCUUGUGGCCCAAACAAAGACAAAUGGCUGACUACUUUUGGUCCAUAGGUUAUAAUUGCUCCUACCUUAGUAUUCUUUUCUAUUUUCACUAGAGGGUAAAGUUUAAAUUUGUUUCCAAAGCUACCAAAAAUCUUAUGGAGAAAGAGAUCCCACAUAACCUACAAAUGCUAAAAUUCUCUUUUGUUAUCUACAUGUAUUUUAUUCAAUAUAUAUUCAAAAGUGACAAAUGACAUGCACAUUUCACUCUCUUAGAAGUGACAAAGUUGUUAGCUCACAUGCCAGCCAUUAGUGAUCAAGCUAGAGAUUUGGCUAAUAUAUAAAAUAAACAUAUUUUAAAAGACCAAAAUGUCAAGAAUUCUCAAAGUAUUUGGGUAUGUAACAAGUACUAGGUUAUAAGAACAAUUAGUAUAUAUUUUUUGUUUAUGCUGUUAGCAAAAUGUUUUUACACAUCAUAUAAAUCUUAUUUGCUUUCUGCAACUCAUCAUGAUUUAAGCAUUUCCUAUAUAGAGCAGAAACAGAACCUAAGCACCUAGACAGCAACUCUCAAUUGCAAUAAAAAUAAAUCUAUUGUUGGGAAAAACUUAGAACAAACUUGAGAAAUUGAUUGUCAGACUUCUCUUUUAAAUCAGUCCACAUAGAAGACGGAAUUAAAAGAACAAGACUUUUUUUUUUCUCUUAUCAAUCUUCCCAUCAUAUUUCCAAAAGAUUCCAAAUCUGUUGUUAACAGAGCAGAAGGGAAGGAAUAAAAUAAGUGUUGGGGAGAAAGGAGAUUAUAUUUUUUGAGUGCCUAGAAUAUACCAGGCAAGUAAUAAUAUUAAUAAUAAUAAAUAGACUUGGGACAAAAUGUGUGAGAAGAAACAGUAUUUUUAAGCAAUCUAUUUCUAUUUGACACAGCACAUACUCUAAUAAAUUCUACUCCCCCUUCCUACCUUAAAUGAUAUUAAGUACCAUCUGUGCCUUACCUUCUUAGCCCUAACUAUGCCAACUAUAGUGUUUAUAAUUCUUUUUAUCUUUCUAAACUCACCUAUUGUAACUAUUAACCAAGUGAGAAAUACUGGGCCUCAGGGAAGUUAAUGUGUCUAAGUUUAUAAUCUAAUAAAAAGAAUCAAAGACGGACUUGGACUACAUCAGACUCAACUGUCUUUUAAUGUAGAUAUUGCCAAAUUUGUGUGACUUUUAUGAUAAGAAAUUAGACUGUGAAAUUACUUUUUAGCAGAUUGACAGGAAAGUUAUUACUUUAAAUUAUAUCCAUUUCAGGCAUGGCUUUAUAAUAACCAUAGAAAUGAUAUGGAAUAGCUAUACAGUAGAAAUUUUUUAUUAUUCUUUAUCUGAGCCUCUUAAGGAGAAUAUCUUUUAUUGUGGAUUCAAAGAUGUCCACUAAUAUUUCAGUAGUCAGGCCUUUGAUACAGCAUGGCUCAAUAAGUCUUUUUCCUCUAGCAAGCUAGGGGAUACUAUGAGAAAGUUUAACAGUGAUAAUCAAAAGAAACUUAGGGUUGAACACUGAUCCUAUUAUAGCAAAUGAUUAGUACAGGUGGACCUUUCUUGAUGUUCAGUGACUGUCGGUAAUCCUUAAAUAAUCAGGCAGCUGCUAUAUAGCAAGAAAAUGUCAAGUCGAACACCUGGGUGUUAAACAUUUAUACAUGCUUGUAGGCCACUUUUGAUCUAUCUGCCCAACAUGCCAAAUGUCAGUGGCUUCACAUAGGUUAGGAGGAAAGCACCUCAUUAGAGCAUAGCUAGAGUUUGCUUAGAGUCAAAAGGCACAAAGAAUACUGUAUCCUUAGAUGCAGGGUGGUUAUUUUCCUGUGCAUUGAGCUUGCUAGUAUUUUUGAGUAGCUCAGGUCCUCUAUUGUCUAUGUGUCUGUAAACUACUCUUUUCUCUUUAAAAAAGAACAUAGCAAUGGCUUCGCUUUUCUAAGCAGAACAAUACAAAUUACUGUUCAAUGGUCUAGGAUGCCAUUAUAUGAAGGAGCAGCCUGCACUGGCAACUCCAAAUUACACUUGGAGUUCUUCAAGAAGUUAAUGACUGGUGGCCACACACUAUAUACAGGGGUAAUCAGCACAAGAUAAGGUGGCAUCCUGGCUCACAGGAUGUUGUGCAGACAGAAGCAUGUUGUCUGAUUGCCUUCCUUAACCUAUUCAGUUCUGUUUCCCUUCCUAUUGUACUGCAGAUGCAGUAAUUAGUUUUCAAAGAGCUUGCAGAAAAUGGGCUCACAAGCCAACUCAUUUUCUUUUUUCAAAGGAGCUGCCCAAGUUCAUAAGCUGUCCUGAGAGCCUUACUCAAAUCAAUGUAGAGUUUAUAAGUGAAAAAGGACAAAGAGCAUAACACAAAAUGAAACUUGAUUUUUCCAUCCAAUUUAGAGGACAGCAAAUUUGAUUUAAGAAAUAGAAUGUCAAGUAAAAGGAAUGUCGUGUAUUAAGUCAAGGGCUCAGACACAAAAAGUAGCAAGUUCAUGAGGAAUCUUGAUUCUACCAUAGCUCCCUAGAUCAUAUAACUCCCCCAGUUCUAUAAUUUGGAAAGUAAUUUUUAGAACACAGUCUAUUUAGAAUACAGUCUUCAUUUGACCACACAUAAACUAUUGAUCUUUGUAUAUUUUGCAUGAUUAUAAUAAAUAAUGUGAAAUUGUUUUAAAGUUUAAACUGUGAUUGAAUUUUUAUUUUGGCAGCCAGAUAUAAAUUUUGGUGAAGAAAAUCAUUGUUGCACAUGUUUGACUAGAAUUAAUAUUGGUCUCAUAAUGCUGAAUCAAACUUUCCACCCAGUCUGAAGAUUAAUUUAUUCAAUCAAAAUUGAAGGUGGCUCCUAAAGAGAUAGUAUCCUCUACGUCUCCUCAGUAAUCUGGGGAUGUUCUUGUAACUCAGAUUUCCGAGUAUGAUAGAAACUCUCAGCCUUUAGAACAAUUAUAGGAACUUGCCACAAGCCGAAGGAAUUGAUGAAGGAGUUAGAGAGUAUGUUUCUACCCUAAUGGUUUGGAACAAUACAGUUUCAAACAUGACUGCCCUGACAUUGACCUUCCAGUAGUGCUAAUUGAACUACAGAUGCUUUUCCACUUACAAUGGAUUUACAUCCUCAUAACUCAUUGUUAAAUUGAAAAUAUCACAUAUCAAAAAUGUAUUUAAUAUACCUAACCUGCCAAACAUUUUAGUUUAGCCUAGCCUAUCUUAAACAUGCUCAGAACACUUACUUAG